rnacentral:piRNA from 1 species
GAGAAACUAUGUGGUUGUAUGGAGUA